UUUAGGAGAGCGCUCUCGGAAACCUCUCACCAUGGCCUGGAUUCCCUUCUACCUCCUGCUCUUCAUUUUCUCCCAAGGAUUUUGUGCUCCACCCACGGUGACCCAGACCCCUUCUGCCUCUGCCUCACCCGGAGCCUCAACCAAGCUCACCUGCACCUUAAGCCAGGAGCACCGCACCUACAUUAUCUGGUGGUAUCAACAGAUUCAAGGCAAGGCCCCAACUUACCUGAUGUAUGUUAAAAGUGAUGGAACCUUCAGCAAAGGGGACAAUGUUCCUGAUCGCUUCUCAGGCUCCAGCUCAGGGGCAGACCGCUACUUAACCAUCUCAAAUGUCCAAUCAGUGGAUGAGGCUGAGUAUUAUUGUGCUUUAGACUAUAAUGAUGCUGGACAAUAUGGUCCCCGGCGAGGCCUGCCUCUUGCUGGUAUCACUCGACCUGUCCUGGAACAGGAGGCAGCGUUCCGACAGGAGGAAGAACCCAUCCCUUAUGGUGGGUCCCAGCAGCCUCCACACUGGACCUUCUUCCUUUUAAAGGCCCACAUCACAGCUCCUGAAUUGUUGACCACUUGUGUGGUUGUGCAAUAG